AUCGAUUUAACGCAUUUUAACUUGUCGAGCGUUUCCCUUCAGGGACGCAUUUUGCAAAUUUAUGAAGGUAAUUCUUCGUUUAAAGUCGUAUACCAGCGGAUACAGUAUGUGUGGUCUGCCAUACCUGAUCUUUCUGGAAGGUUCUGGUGGCCUUCUGGAAGGACGAUGGCAGAGUCAGCCAGCCCCGCAGGCAUCGGGUGGAGGUGGAAUCGCAGCGAUAUCCAUGUUGACAACAGUGAAUCCCAUCCCUGCAACACUGACCCUGAAGCAGAGAAGAGAGUGAACAAAGGUUAACCCUGUAACUAUGAGUAGAAACAUAUUAACUCGAGAUUCUGUUACCAUUGAGUAAGGACAACAUGACCAUAUGCCAUAUGGACUCAGACAGCAUGUUGUUCCGUCUGGACACACAGUUUGAGCAUCGCAGUAAAUCACAGAGGCAGAGGUGUCUACAGUCUCCACCGGGAUAGACAGAUCAAGCAGAGGCUCAUCUGCAGCCACCAGAGCCGCCAUGAGUAACAUCAACACUGGGAACAUCUGAAAAUGUGAAAUAGGAGAGUAUUAGUGGUCUGCCAUACCUGAUCUUUCUCGAAGGUUCUGGUGGCCUCCUGGAAGGACGAUGGCAGUGACAGCCAGCCUCGCAGGCAUCGGGUGGAGGCGAAAUUGCAACGAUAACCGUGUCGACAGCAGUGAAUCCCAUCCCUGCAACACUGACCCUGAAGCAGAGGAGAGAGUGAGCAAAGGUUAACCCUGUAACUAUGAGUAGAAGAAUAUAAAAAACAAGAUUCUCUUACCAUUGGGAAUGGACAACAUGUCCAUUUGCCAUAUGGAGUCCGACAGCAUGUUGUUCUAUCUGGACACACAGUUCGAGCAUCGCAGUGAAUCACAGAGGCAGAGACGUCUUCAGUCUCCAUCGGAAUGGACAGAUCCAGCAGAGGCUCAUCUGCAGCCACCAGAGCCGCCAUGAGUAACAUCAACACUGGGAACAUCUGAAAAUGUGAAAUAGGAGAAUAUUAGUAUCUCCCAAGCUCUAUCAGGUUGGAUGGGCAGCGACGAUGUACAACCAUUUUCAGAUCUCUCCAGAGAUGUUUAAUAGGAUUUAGGUGUGGCGGUGUGCUUUGGGUCAUUGUCCUGCUGUAAGAUGCCCCAGUCUGAGGUCAAGAGCACUCUGAAGCAGGUUUUCAUUCAGGAUGUCUCUGUACAUUGCUGCAUUCAUCUUUCCCUCUAUCCUGACUAGUCUUCUAGUUCCUGCUGCUGAAAAACAUCCCCACACCACCAUGCUUCACUGUAGGGGUGGGAUUAGCCUUAUGAUAAGCGGUGUCUGGUUUUCUAUAAACGUAACACCUGGUGUUCACUCCAAAGAGUUCAAUUUUAGUCUCAUUAGACCCGAAUUUUGUUUCUUAUGGUCUGAGAGUCCUUCAGAUGGGUUAGUCCUAAAAUCCAGGCGGGCCUCUACACCUAACACGCCUGAAUGCUGGAGCUCAGACAGAUUGACCAUUGGGUAAUUGAUCACCCCCCUGACUAAGGCCCUUCUCCCCCGAUCACUCAGCUUAGAUGGCCAGCCAGCUCUAGGAAGAGUCCUGGUGGUUCCAAACAUCUUCCACUUAUCGAUGAUGGAGGCCACUGUGCUCACUGGAACUUUCAGAGCAGCAGAAAUCUUUCUGUAACCUUCCACAGUCUUGUGGCUCAAGACAAUCCUGCCUCGGAGGUCUACAGACAAUUCCUUUGUCUUCAUGCUUGGUUUGUGCUUUGACAUGCACUGUCAACCCUGGGACCCUAUAUAGACAGGUGUAUGUCUUUUCAAAUCAUGUCCAAUUAACUGAAUUUACCACAGGUGAACUCCAAUUAAGCUGCUGAAACAUCUCAAGAAUGAUCAGUGGAAACAGAAUGUACCUGAGCUCCAUUUAGAGCUUCGCGCAAAGGCUGUGAAUACUGAUGAACAUCUGAUUUUUCAGGUUUUCUAUUUAUAAUAAAUUUGCAACAAUUUCAAAA
rnacentral:lncRNA from 1 species